GUGCCCGUCCACCGAACGGUCGGCAGGCGAUCCGCGUCGGUCGCGCUGGGUGGUAUGGUUCCCCAGAGGCCGGUUCUUGUGCUGCCUACCCCUUCAGGGGAAGAGUUCCAAACUCGAUGUAAGCCUCCAUCCGGCGCCCUCCAAAGGGCGCGGGAGGACAACGGAGCACCCCCCGCGUUCCACCGAGCCUCCUCGGUCGCGUGGCCCGCGGGGACGUGCGAUGCUCUCGGACCCAGCGAACGCCGUGGGCGAGGACUCACGUCCCGGUCCCAAGUGAAGCAACGGUAUAACGCACGACGGCCGCUCCCGCCCCCCGACCGCCCCGGCGGCGCGGGGCGAAGGCGCGGCGUCGCUGAGGAAUGCU
rnacentral:misc_RNA from 1 species